CGUGACCCUCUCUCUCUCCCUGUGGACGUCCUCAUCCUCUGGACCAAGCGGAGGCAUCUCUGGCUCGCCCCACCACGACCUUAACAGUGAGGGUUGUUUUAAAGUUACCCGAGGCGAAUGAAGAACUUGUACUGUAGCAGAAUGGUGAAGAUGAAGAAGAUAACCCCUUCGGCUGCCAUCGCAAACAGGUUCUUCCCUACGGAGUCCCAAUGAAGAGGGUUCAGUGUCUGCUUCGAACCUGGAGGAGGAAAACCACAAGCGAAGAAAAUCUUCACGUACAUUUAUCUUUAUAGAUCGUACAUCCUGUGGGUUUGCUGCAGUCCAAGUAAAAGGUAUGCAGGCAAUAAUGCCCCAUAUGGGUGUAGCAACACCCUUCACUUUGAAUAAAAGGUUUGGGUUCAACUAA